CGUUCUAUGGCCGAAUUGAUAAGGGCAUCGCCGAUCAACAGGCGAGGUUGCGGGUUCGAGUCCCGCUGGAACGA
rnacentral:tRNA from 1 species